AUCUAACUGACGAUUCCCAAAUAGAACGGAAUGCGCGUCCUAGAU
rfam:Schistosoma mansoni strain Puerto Rico chromosome 3, complete genome